rnacentral:misc_RNA from 1 species
UGACGUCAUACACGACGUCAUUCCCUCUACCUUAUUGCAAGAAAUCCGUCAUAUCACCAAUCAGUUGCUCCAUUCAUUAUUUGAUUCACGUUUUUAUGUCAUGACGUUUAUACGCAUUUCACAUCAUUUUCUAAUGCGAUUUAAAAUUACACUUCAUGGAUGUAUUUUUAUUUUGUCUCAGUUACAUGCUGUUAGUUUAUCACCAUAUGGCAUUUUGUCUUAGUCAGUUGGUUGUUUAUUCUUAAUUUAUUUGAAUUUUGAUGUUGUGCAUCAAAGUAUAUAGUUCAUGGUCAAUAUGUGCCUAUGAAAGAUUUCAUAUUAUCAUGAAACUUAUUCUCUCAUCAGCUUGAAUGGCCGAGAGGCGCAUUGUAAAUAGUCAUUACACUCACACUCUGUAUUAAUUUAAGACUUCAUUAAAGUUGAAUGUUGUAUCUGUUAUCAUCCUGAAAAAUCGAGUCAUUAUUUUUUAUUAUUUUUUUUUACAAAUAUCAGAAUGUUCAGAUCUUUGACAUUUUUAUAUUUUGUUAAUAAAAAUUGUUGAGCUUUU